CAAAUCUUUGGAGGCUAGUGCCUAGUGCAUUGGUCUCACAUUAGCACAAGGUCGCAAGGCCUUGAUGUUUACGCUUGUUUGUUUGACAGAGUUAGUUGAGAAAAAACAUAGA
rnacentral:misc_RNA from 1 species